rnacentral:lncRNA from 1 species
UUAGUAAUGAUUAUUGAUGUAAAUUUUACCAUAUUGUAAGAAUAUAACAGUUAGAGAAUAUGCAUGCAUAUACGUGUGUGUGUGUGUGUACAUAUACAUAUAUGAAUAUAUAAGCAUGAUGAGUUGGGUGAGAUAUAUGUUUAUAUAUUCGUGAGUAGUUGUGAUGUUGUAUUGAUACAGGUGUAAUGGCAAAGGAAAUGAAGAGGGGUGAUUUUGAAACUAAAAGAAGCAAACUAAGAGAAUUGAGAGUUAGAGAACAGGAAGAAAAUGUAGAAGAAAAAGAAGAGCUCCCAGUGAGUCCUCUAGGACAAUAUCUAAAUAGUUCGGUGCUUUCAGUCAAUGUUAUUGCUAUUUUAGAAUUAGAAGUUAAAAUCAAUUGCACCCAAUCGGUCUCCUAUCUCAAACAAUUAUUUCUCCCCAUCAAUCCACGUUUCUCCUCCAUCAUGGUAUAUAUGCACAUAUAUAUACAUUUCACUAGUAUUUUCUCUUUGUUUUUGUGUUAGUUGUAAUAUUCUUUUCUAAAUUUUGUUUUUCAUUUCAUAGUUAAUACUUAAUGGGCACACAUGUGCACACAUACACAUAUAUAUAAAGAUUUAUCUCUCAUAAAAGAAGAAUUAUAAAUACAUUAAAUAUGACUAAUUAAGAUAUGUUAUUGAAUAUCAACUAUUAUUUACUUGAAUGAUUUAUAUAUUACUUCUUAAAAUUUAUGAAUUUAAGUUAUAAUAUAUUUUCAUAUGUCUUUUUAAAAAAUAUUGUAUUACUUAUUGAUGAACUUUUCCUUAAAAAAAAAGAUGAUACUGAGUGAGAUUAUUAUAAAAUAAAUAGGUAGAAGAUAUAAAUGGAGUUAAACGAUGGAAGAAUGUUGAGGUAAAUUUAGAAGAGCAUGUCUACAUACCAAGCUUCCCAUCUGAAAAAUCAACAGAAUUCUAUGAAGACUACUUGAGAGAUUAUUUAACAAAAUUAGCUGGAGAAGAGCUUCAAUACACAAGACCCUUAUGGGAGCUCCACAUAAUCAAAUACCCAACAACUAAUGCACUUAACACUCUAAUUUUCAAGCUUCAUCAUUCACUCGGUGAUGGCUAUUCUCUCAUGGGAGCUCUCUUUUCUUGUUUGCGACGAGUAGAUAAUCCUUCUCUUCCAAUUACUUUCCCUUCUGUUCGAAUGCGUUCCAGUUCCACUCUUAAUCUUCCUACUCAUUAUUUCAAAACAUUUAUUCCUAACUUUUUCUAUUCGCUUGUCAACACUAUUUCUGAUUUUGUUGAGGGUAUCAUCAAAAGCAAAUUCAAAGAAGAUGAUGUUACACCAUUACGAUCUGGCUGCUCUCAUCUUCAUCCCAUGAUCAUCACCACUAUCCCGUUCUCUCUUCUUUAUAUUAAACAAAUCAAGGACAUUCUUGGAGCAGUAAGUAUUUAUAUAUAAAUACAACAGCAUCUUUUUUUGGUGAAUUACUAAAUUAAUUUUUGAAAUUUAACAUUUUUUAUAAUUUGAUUCAUAAUAUCUUUCUCCUCAUUUCUUUGUUUGAAAUCUCCUUUUAUUUUCUUUUUAAUAGAAAAAAAUUUCAAAUGGUUAAAUCAUAUUUGAAUAAUUUAAAAUAAUGAUUUUAAUUAAUUAUUAAACUAAUAACAUUACUCCUUUACAUUGUUUCCAAAACAUGAAAACAUAUCCUAGAUAUUUUAAGCUUUUUUCUCGCAAUGAAAUGGCGUUUAAAAAAAUAUUAACAAUUAAAUUAUACUUGAAAAAACAUUAAGAGUAAAAUUGCAAUAAGUUUCAAAGUUUAAGUUGUAAUUUAAUAACUAUUAUUUUAAUUAAUGGAUUAUCUGCUUAUCUUCUUCCUUUGUUGAGUAAUCUUAAUGCAUGCAUGCAGACGGUAAACGACGUGAUAACGGGAGUGAUUUUAUUGGGAUGUCGACUUUACGUGCAAGAAUUAC